UGUGUGUGGGUCGCGACCAAGAACCAGUGGAGAAAGGAAAACCCUUUUUCCUUCAUAAAAUUUCAAGAAUUCAGGGAAUUAAGGUGCUAUUGAUCCAGAAAAUCGAAUGCAUGAAGUAAAUUCCUUGCUAAUCUAAGUGUACUGAACACAAGGCACAAAUAUGGAAGCGCUACGGGUCGAAGGUAAACACGGAAGCUAUGUGUAAAUUCGGACGCACGAGGUACCAUACGGAUUUCUUCUUCUACUAACGAAGAUGAGCGGACGAAGAUCGAGUCAAGAGCAAGGGUUGUACGGGAAGGAUCGGUCACAUAGUUUAACAAAUGUAGGUCCGAAGUAUUAAUAUAAUGGAACGUGGUAAAUCCUUUUUAAUGAGUGUAUGACAUUUGGUAUUCGAACUUUCCUGUAAGUACUAUGUCUAUUAAAGAACGAAAUUUUGG
rnacentral:lncRNA from 1 species